CUUGCCGGGUCCAUAGAGGAACCUCAGGCGUUGGGAGAGUUUAAGUCGUUGAAGUGCUAGAAAGCAAAAGUUUCGGGUCGCGGAGGAGAUCCCUGCCAGUGUAGAGAAACGUCCGCGGAAUCCAGGAAGUGAUGAGCAGAGACCUGAACUCCUGCAGAGGAUACAGGAGGUGACUGUCAGGAGGCAAAGUGGAGAAGUACACACAGAUCUACUGGCUUAGCCAGGAGCCACCAGUAUUGGGAAGCUUGAACAAUGUGCAAUUUCCCUAUUCUAAGUCUUGACAUAGAACAUCAUCAGGCAGGAAGAGAGCCAGAUUGUUCCAGCUUUGACACAUGUUCUUACUUUCUGGUGCUACAAGACAUUCCAGGUUCAUCUCACAUGUUACCCGUCCAGGCCCUGGAAUCAACUAUUUCUGCAAGGAGCUCUGAUUCCUGUCUUACUUAGAGUGGUGUUUGGAAACCAAGAUCUGAGCACGAGAUGUGACACUGGCUAAAAUUUCUGACAAUUACAAGUUGAUGAAAAUUCAGAGUAAUUGGAAUUCAUAUGCCUAUGGGAAUUUGUACAGUUGGUUUGGAAAACAAUUUAGCAUUAGCUAAAUACCAGUAAUUCCACUGGAAAAACUCUCGCCCGUGUGCAACAGGAGUGCGCACAACUUUGCUCAGAACAGCACAAAACUGAGAUAAUCCAAUGGCCAUCAGUCAGAAGAAAGAUGAAUAAAGUGUGUUAUAUUCUUCAAG